GCUUAACACACGCAAGUCGAACGAACCAAUCCCUUCGGGGAUUGAGUGAGUGGCGGACGGGUGAGUAACGCGUGAGCAAUCUGCCCAUAUCAGGGGAAUAACAGUUAGAACUGACUGCUAAUACCGCAUAAGACCACGGUAAGGCAUCUUACUGCGGUAAAAGAUCUUAUCGGAUAUGGAUGAGCUCGCGUCCAAUUAGGUAGUUGGUGAGGUAACGGCUCACCAAGCCGACGAUUGGUAGCCGACCUGAGAGGGUGAUCGGCCACAUUGGAACUGAGAAACGGUCCAGACUCCUACGGGAGGCAGCAGUGGGGAAUAUUGGGCAAUGGAGGCAACUAUGACCCAGCAAUGCCGCGUGAGUGAAGAAGGUUUUCGGAUUGUAAAGCUCUUUAAGUGGGGACGAAGACAGUGACUGUACCCACAGAAUAAGCAUCGGCUAACUACGUGCCAGCCGCCGCCGUAAGAC
rnacentral:rRNA from 1 species